rnacentral:rRNA from 1 species
AGAGUAGUACUAGGAUGGGUGACCCCCUGGGAAGUCCUCGUGUUGCAUCCC